rnacentral:rRNA from 1 species
GACGAGGGUCCCGAGAGUUAAUCGGAAUCACUGGGCUUAAAGGGUGCGUAGGCGGACAUGUAGGUGUUUUGUGAAAUCCCUCUGCUCAACGGAGGAAUUGCAGGGCAAACCACAUGUCUUGAGGCAGGUAGAGGCCGUCGGAACGAUAGGUGGAGCGGUGAAAUGCGUAGAUAUCUAUCUGAACGCCGAAGGUGAAGACAGACGGCUGGGCCUGUCCUGACGCUGAGGCACGAAAGCGUGGGGAGCAAACGGG